rnacentral:rRNA from 1 species
CGGAGGAUCCGAGCGUUAUCCGGAUUUAUUGGGUUUAAAGGGUGCGUAGGCGGCCUGUUAAGUCAGGGGUGAAAGACGGUAGCUCAACUAUCGCAGUGCCCUUGAUACUGAUGGGCUUGAAUGUACUAGAGGUAGGCGGAAUGUGACAAGUAGCGGUGAAAUGCAUAGAUAUGUCACAGAACACCAAUUGCGAAGGCAGCUUACUAUGGUAUUAUUGACGCUGAGGCACGGAAGCGUGGGGAUCAAACAGGAUUAGAUACCCUGGUAGUCCACGCCCUAAACGAUGAAUACUCGAUGUUAGCGAUAUACAGUUAGCGUCAAAGCGAAAGCGUUAAGUAUUCCACCUGGGGAGUACGCCCGCAAGGGUG